ACAACCCUUGCCUUGCACUUAUAUGGCUAAUGGUUCUGCUCCACUGCUCAGGUCAGAAAGCUGUGGUUUGGAGCCAGCAAAUAUCAGAGCAAAGUCAGCUCCUGGCAACCAGGAGCAGCAAAGCAAAUCUGUGGUCAUUUCUUAGCUACUGUUUGCUAGCUUGUUCCCUUGAAAAAAAAAAAGUCAGCUUGAACCACACAGAGAUGAUUUACUCACAAGGGACAAGCGUAGCUCUCAGCAAUAAAUGCAGGAGAUCAGAUGGUAAGGAAAGGCCGGUGAAAAUGGGGUAAAUACCAGGAAGGGUGUGGGGGGAACUGAGCAGGCUGAAGAUGCUGGAGGUGCUGCUCCUUGGCUGGGAAAUGAACUGCAAGAAAGCUUCUUGGCCACAGGCUGCUGAGGAACCCUGGCCAAAACCUCAGGUAUUUUCUAUAGUGUCACUAUAGCAUGUUAUUUUGCAGAGAAGGGCUGCCAUCAGAAAAGGUAAAUUUCAUGAGGUUUAAAGACAAGAAGCAUCUCAAAGGAACAAGCACCCACUGCAGAGCAACGGGAGAAGAGACUGGAAAGUUUGCCAGCAGAGGGUCUUGAUUAAAGCAUGAAGGAACAGAGGGUGGUAAUUAUGAUGCCACAGGAUCCUAUCAUCCCACACACUGUGAUGCUGGCUAUUUGCUUCAAAAACACAGGAGUGGUUGGAGAGAUACAGGAGGUUGCAAAAGGAAAAGUGAGGAGAUGAUUAUCCUCUGCAGGACAGAAGGAACAGCAGGUAAUUAUUGCCUGCAGCACCACAAGGAUUUGGCUUGAUGCAGAGGUAUGGAAAAUUACAUGCCCUAUAAGACCAUUUCCCUGCUGAGUCCACAACAGUUAGAAUUCAGUAGGGUUAUGGAUUGCAGUCCUUAAUUUUGUCUUCCUAAGGAAUUUUGUGCUUUGAGGAUCAGAGGGCAGAAUUGCUUUGCAAAGAACCAGAUGGAGAUGGCAUGGUUUUGUCCUUAGUACUCUACAAGAACUAGCUGUGGUUGGGAUGGCUAUUUGGUUUUUUCUUCAUCCAAAUCACUGUGUGAUAAGUUUAUUGAUUUCUUGGGAUUGCUUCUUCUAAAAAGAUGUGAAUUCUCUCACAGUCACAUGCAGUCAGCAGAGACAUGCCAGAGGCCAGCACUGCAGCCCCAAACCCACAGCAACCUGCAGCCACCUCUUCCUCCCAGCAGCUGUUAGAAUCUUGAGCUCUGAAAUUCAUAAGCUCAGAGGCAGGCUCCAAAAUCAGAGCAUGAUAGAGAGAAGUAAGAGUCAGUGAAAGGGAAGUUGUACUAUGAGUCUGAGUACCCUGAUCUACCUAGGAUGUCUUAGUUUCUCAUUUAUCAUGACCAAGCAUAGGUGAAAUCUGCCACAGGGAUCAUUUGCAACUCAUUGGUCAUCACAGAAAAUCAGCUGUUGGUGAAAGGAAGAGACCUUAGAAGUUAAGACAGGCUGCUAUUUUCCUUGGAAGAAGGCAGAAUUGACUCAAUCAGAUAACAGCACUUGCAUUCUGCACAUUCUGAAGACAUCCAGCACUCAGUAAAUCACAUAAACACACACAGAGAAGACCAUGAAUGAUAUGAGAAGGCAGCUUUUGUACACAGGGAUGUGCAAGAGCUGGGUGACAAGACAACCUCAUGAAACAUAGUUUUGCCUGCAGAUGAAUUGCAGCUACUGUGAAGCAGCAGUUUUACAUGCUCUGUGGAUGUUUUAAAGCCCCAGCUCUAAGGCACCACACCCCACAGCAGUGACAUUAGGGUGCCUCUGUGCCUGCCUCAAGAACAGUCAGCUUUUCUUAAGGGAAAGGAGAAGUGAGAUUUCUUGAUCAUUUGUUUUUAGAAACUCCUUCCCUUCUCAACAUACAAGUUACAGAAAUAUAGUAUCACUCCUUACAAAUGAUCUGCCACAUUAAUCAGGUAGUCUCUAGUGAACACAUACACCAUCGUUUGUGCAUCCCAGAAGCACUGAAGUCAAGCCCAAUCACAACUAGAGCAGGUGAAUUCAUGUUAUAGAAACAUAUCUGUGGCCACAGGAGAGCUUUAGGAAAUCUGUGCUAUGGUUCACACCUUGUAAAUUUAAGAGGCUCAUCCAGUAACUCAAAUGGUUACUGCCUGAGUUGCUGGUAACAGACAACAGAAAGUACUUCUUCCAUAACAUCUCUUCUUGACUGAGAUAGAAUCAUAAAGGUUGGAAAAGACCUCCAAAAUCAUCUAGCCCAACCACCCACUCACCACCAGUGUUGCCUGCUAACUCACAUCCCUAAAUAAUGUCUGCACAUUUCCUGAAAACCCCCAUGGACAGUGACUCCACCACCUUCCUGGGCAGCGUGUCAGUACCCAGCCACUCUUUUGGAUAAGUGGUUUUUCCUUACAUUCAACCCAAACCUUGCCCAGCACAACUUGUCUGGAAGUACUAAACACAACCAGGUUAAAUCAAAUAAGAUCAGAGCAGCCAGGAGAAGGAUGACAGGAAACCAGCCCAAACAGUAGAUGUGAGUAGCCAAAGUUCACACAUCAAGAGCUCUCACACUCACUGACCAAGAGUUUCUCUAGAAGAUUGCAAAAACUACAGUAGCAGGUUCAGCUUUUAGCCUUGACUUACCUAAGGGUCUUUGGUAAAUUA
ensembl:lncRNA